AGGCAGCAGGCGCGCAAAUUACCCAAUCCUGACACAGGGAGGUAGUGACAAGAAAUAACAAUACAGGGCCUAACGGUCUUGUAAUUGGAAUGAGUAAAGUAUAAACCCCUUUACGAGUAUCAAUUGGAGGGCAAGUCUGGUGCCAGCAGCCGCGGUAAUUCCAGCUCCAAUAGCGUAUAUUAAAGUUGUUGCAGUUAAAAAGCUCGUAGUUGGAUUUCUGUUGCAUCAUUAUAUUAUCACUAAGGUAAUAAUAUAAUAUCAACAUCCUCCCUUAUUAUAUCUAAUAUAGAGGGAAUUUUACUUUGAGAAAAUUAGAGUGCUUAAAGCAGGCAACUUCCUUGAAUACUCCAGCAUGGAAUAAUAAGCAAGGACUUUUGUCUUUCUUAUUGGUUCUAGGACAAUAGUAAUGGUUA
rnacentral:rRNA from 1 species